GAGGCAGCAGUGAGGAAUAUUGGUCAAUGGGCGAGAGCCUGAACCAGCCAAGUAGCGUGAAGGAUGACUGCCCUAUGGGUUGUAAACUUCUUUUAUAAAGGAAUAAAGUCGGGUAUGGAUACCCGUUUGCAUGUACUUUAUGAAUAAGGAUCGGCUAACUCCGUGCCAGCAGCCGCGGUAAUACGGAGGAUCCGAGCGUUAUCCGGAUUUAUUGGGUUUAAAGGGAGCGUAGAUGGAUGUUUAAGUCAGUUGUGAAAGUUUGCGGCUCAACCGUAAAAUUGCAGUUGAUACUGGAUAUCUUGAGUGCAGUUGAGGCAGGCGGAAUUCGUGGUGUAGCGGUGAAAUGCUUAGAUAUCACGAAGAACUCCGAUUGCGAAGGCAGCCUGCUAAGCUGCAACUGACAUUGAGGCUCGAAAGUGUGGGUAUCAAACAGGAUUAGAUACCCUGGUAGUCCACACGGUAAACGAUGAAUACUCGCUGUUUGCGAUAUACGGCAA
rnacentral:rRNA from 1 species